rnacentral:rRNA from 1 species
CAUGCCGCGUGUGUGAAGAAGGCUUCGGGUUGUAAAGCACUUUCAGUCAGGAGGAAAGGGUGUGAGUUAAUACCUCACAUCUGUGACGUUACUGACAGAAGAAGCACCGGCUAACUCCGUGCCAGCAGCCGCGGUAAUACGGAGGGUGCGAGCGUUAAUCGGAAUUACUGGGCGUAAAGCGUACGCAGGCGGUUUGUUAAGCGAGAUGUGAAAGCCCCGGGCUCAACCUGGGAACUGCAUUUCGAACUGGCAAACUAGAGUGUGAUAGAGGGUGGUAGAAUUUCAGGUGUAGCGGUGAAAUGCGUAAGAUCUGAAGGAAUACCGAUGGCGAAGGCAGCCACCUGGGUCAACACUGACGCUCAUGUACGAAAGCGUGGGGAGCAAACGGGAUUAGAUACCCCGGUAGUCCACGCCGUAAACGAUGUCUACUAGAAGCUCGGAACCUCGGUUCUGUUUUUCAAAGCUAACGCAUUAAGUAGACCGCCUGGGGAGUACGGCCGCAAGGUUAAAACUCAAAAUGAAUUGACGGGGGCCCGCACAAGCGGUGGAGCAUGUGGUUUAAUUCGAUGCAACGCGAAAGAACCUUACCUACACUUGACAUACAGAGAACUUACUANAGAUAGUUUGGUGCCUUCGGGGAACUCUGAUACCGGUGC